rnacentral:rRNA from 1 species
AGUUUGAUCCUGGCUCAGGAUGAACGCUAGCUACAGGCUUAACACAUGCAAGUCGAGGGGCAGCAUGACCUAGCAAUAGGUUGAUGGCGACCGGCGCACGGGUGAGUAACACGUAUCCAACCUGCCGAUUAUUCCGGGAUAGCCUUUCGAAAGAAAGAUUAAUACUGGAUAGCAUAACGAGAAGGCAUCUUCUUGUUAUUAAAGAAUUUCGAUAAUCGAUGGGGAUGCGUUCCAUUGGUUUGUUGGCGGGGUAACGGCCCACCAAGACAUCGAUGGAUAGGGGUUCUGAGAGGAAGGUCCCCCACAUUGGAACUGAGACACGGUCCAAACUCCUACGGGAGGCAGCAGUGAGGAAUAUUGGUCAAUGGACGAGAGUCUGAACCAGCCAAGUAGCGUGAAGGAUGACUGCCCUAUGGGUUGUAAACUUCUUUUAUAUGGGAAUAAAGUGGGCCACGUGUGGCUUUUUGUAUGUACCAUACGAAUAAGGAUCGGCUAACUCCGUGCCAGCAGCCGCGGUAAUACGGAGGAUCCAAGCGUUAUCCGGAUUUAUUGGGUUUAAAGGGAGCGUAGGCGGAUUAUUAAGUCAGUUGUGAAAGUUUGCGGCUCAACCGUAAAAUUGCAGUUGAUACUGGUAGUCUUGAGUGCAGCAGAGGUAGGCGGAAUUCGUGGUGUAGCGGUGAAAUGCUUAGAUAUCACGAAGAACUCCGAUUGCGAAGGCAGCUUACUGGACUGUAACUGACGCUGAUGCUCGAAAGUGUGGGUAUCAAACAGGAUUAGAUACCCUGGUAGUCCACACAGUAAACGAUGAAUACUCGCUGUUUGCGAUAUACAGCAAGCGGCCAAGCGAAAGCAUUAAGUAUUCCACCUGGGGAGUACGCCGGCAACGGUGAAACUCAAAGGAAUUGACGGGGGCCCGCACAAGCGGAGGAACAUGUGGUUUAAUUCGAUGAUACGCGAGGAACCUUACCCGGGCUUAAAUUGCAACUGACGGAUUUGGAAACAGAUCUUCCUUCGGGCAGUUGUGAAGGUGCUGCAUGGUUGUCGUCAGCUCGUGCCGUGAGGUGUCGGCUUAAGUGCCAUAACGAGCGCAACCCUUAUCUUUAGUUACUAACAGGUCAUGCUGAGGACUCUAGAGAGACUGCCGUCGUAAGAUGUGAGGAAGGUGG